UCUAAUCAUAAUGAGUACUUUUUGCACAAAAUCUAUGUAAUAUCUAUGGCAUUCCUCUAGUCUACUAGUUUAGUAAAUGUAUGCAGAAAAGGAAAAGUUUCCUUUGUUUGACAAAGCCAUAUUGGUUCUUUAUGAUGAUCUGUUUCUUUAGAUAUUCAUGGUCAGAAUGGACUGUGAAGAGUGACUGUGAACAAUGAGCAGAUAAAUCAAAAUUAAAAAUCAAAAAGCUUGAUCUUGUGACACAUAGGAAUCAUGUUACUGGAAAUCCUUUGGGCACCUAUCUUGACUUCCAAGAGAAGAUGCUAUGUGCUCUCUAUCACAGUCUGGCUAUCUACAUUUUCCCACUGGAUUCUAAGUUUUCCUGGAUAUGUGAAGUGCCUUAUGGCCACAAUUUGGAAAGCGGUCCCUGUGGAGAAGGAAGGUGUUAGUCAUUCCUACCAAAAGCCAGCUUAACUGAAGCAGCAGGGCACUCUGAGAACAAAACAGAAAGUGGCAUGUGCUAGAAAAGUUAAACUAUCACUUUGGCCACUUUCUUAGGCUGUAGUGAAGACAGUUCAGAGCCCUGAAUCCAAGGGCCUUGGGAAUAGCAGUGCUGUUGGAUGGAACAGUCAUCAUCCUGGGAAAUGAUCUCUUUGCAGAUAGAUCUUAGACUUGUUUAUACUGGUGGUGACAGAGUUACUGAAAACCCAAAGAGAGAGAUCUUACCAAUGGAAUCUUUGACAGUGUUAAAUGGCUCAGCGUCAGAAAUUGAUAAAAUUUAAUUGGUGAAAAUAUUAAAGAUUUUACUUUUCUACAAGUUGUUGCAACAUAAAGACUAAGGGAUAUUUUUGUUUGUUUGUUUUUUGGUUUAGGCAAUUGGGGCUAAGUGAAUUGCUCAGGAUCACACAGCUAAGAAGUGGUAUCUGAGGCCAGAUUUGAACUCGGGUCCUUCUGACUUCAAGACUGGUGUUCUAUCUACUGUGCCAUUUAGCUGCCUCCCCCCAAAGCAAAACAAAACAAAGACUAAGGGAUGUUUCUGUCUUGCAGCAGAAACAUCUUAUUUUUGCAUUUAAAUAGUAUUUUUCCCCAUUACAUAUAGUUUUCAACAUUCAUUUUUGUAAGAUCUUGAGUUCCAGAUUUUUUCCCUCUCAAACAUAGCAAGCAAUCUGAUAGAAGUUAUCCACCUACAAUUAUGUUAAACACAUUUCCAUAUUAGUCUUGUGAAUCAGAAAAAGGAAAAAUUACAAGAAAGGAAAAAAAAAUUAAUAAGUGAAAAUAGUAUAUUUUGAUCUACUUUCAGACUCCACAAUUCUUUCUCUUCAUGUGGAUGGUAUUUUCCAUCACAAAUCUUUUGGAAUUGUCUUGGAUCAAUGUAUUGCUGAGAAGAGCUAAGUCUAUCAUAAUUGGUUAUCGAAAAAUUGCUGUUACUAUGUACAAUGUUCUCCUGGUUCUGCUCACUUCAUUCAGCAUCAAUUCAUUGUACAGUGAAUGUACCACAUACCACAGGCACUAUGCUAAAUGCUGCAGCUGAAAACAAGACUGCUCUCAGAGAACUCGUGUUCUACAAGAGAAGAUAAAACUAGAAAGGGGUGCUGGAAAUGGGAUGUAGGUCGAUGGUAUAGAGAUGACUACAAAGUGGCAUGGAGAUCUGAAUGUAAACAAACUGAAAUACAAAUUCACUUAGCCUGGUGUUCCAGAGACCAAAAGUCAACUAAUUCUGACCUUCCAAUAUCAUUUACUUUUAUUAUCUACUUUAACUUAACUCUAUUGUGGUAGAACUGCCAGUAAGAUCUAUAGCUCAAAUAAAACAUGUAACUAAUA